GAGGCAAUAGCUCAGUGGUAGAGCCCCCGCUUCGCGUGCGGGAAUACCCGGGUUCGGUUCCCGGCUGAUUCC
rnacentral:tRNA from 1 species